CUGUUCGGCUGGAGGCUGGAGGCAAGGCGGCGGCGGUUGCUGGUUCCAAGAAGACGGCGGCAGCAGGCGAGGCCGAGGUGGCUAGGCGGGGCAGGGUCACCGGUCGCAGGCAGCCGGGGAGGCGAGGGUGAGGCGGGACCGCGGGAGCCUUCCAGCCGCCGCCCUGAUCCGGGGAGCCGCCGAGCCGGCCGACAGGCCAAGCGCCCGAGCCACCGCCGGCCAAGGUAGCGCCGCACGGCCGCUGCGAGCUGCGAGCCUGCGAGAGGGCUAGCAGCAGCGGGAGCCAGGAGGGGGCGACGGCUGACGGGCGACUGGCCAUCAGCGCCGAGGCGGCAGUGCCGGCGUCGCGGCGAGCCGACGAGGCGAGCUGCAGCCAGCCAUCCAUCGUCGGCGUCCUGCAUCUAGUACCCUCCACUGUGCUCUGUCCAGACUACAAAUUAGCAAGCAGAAGCUCCAAAUUGGUUGAUUUCAUUUUUGUUAUUGAAGUAUGAUUACAAGCUGAUUGAUUUCAUUUUGUUACUGAAGUAUGAUGGCAUGAACUUUUAAUUUUUAUUUUGUGCAUAGUGCAUUGCCAAUUUCUUAAGUUAGAACUUAGAAUGUUACCACAAUUGAAUCAUAAUCGAUUGAAGAUUGAUGGGUCAUUUUAUUUUCACUUUAGGUCUCGAAAUGAAAAGGAGGAGGGGGCCUACAGUUGAUCUGAAGGCUUUUUUUGGAAAGAUGUGGUUCAAAGAAGACAACUCAAAAUGAAAAUCAAGGUGAAGCUCAAGUUGAGGACAAUCUCAAUAGCAACCCUUCUUUUGAUCACAGUCAGAUGCAAUUGGUGAUUUAUCAAGUUAAUAAUGAGAAUGUGAGUGGUGGUGAGACAAGCACAUUGCCACAAGAUCCAGAUAUUAGUGAUAUUUCUAUGUCAAAUGGUGAAUCUGAAUCUAGUGAUGAAGAUAAUUGUGGUGGCAUAUAUGGCAUAGAGCAAAAACAAAUCCUUUCCUCUCUUUGAUGCGUUGGGUGAACUCUAUGACGGGCAAACUGCUGAGGGCAGCAUGAACUUCACUUCUAUCGAGCCGCCCAGACAUGCUAAUCUUACACAAGUGAGUGACUAUCUUGAGAGAAGUGACUCCUUUCCUGAUGUGAAUUGGGGUCCUCAAGAUUAUGAAGGCUUGACCACUGAAGUUGAAGAAGAAAAUACAAUGGAGCAUGAAAAUCAGCAAACCCACAUUGGUACCACCUCAAGAGGUUGUGGAGAGAAGGAUGGCAACAAGAGAAAAUCUGUAUCAAGAGAAAGGGUAGAUAAGCCUGUGAAAAGAAAUAGGAGAAAUGAUGUUUUUGAUUUGAUGGGAAGCUACUUAGAGAUGAGAAAGGAGGAGGAGGCAAAGACGAGGGCGGAGACAAGUAAAGUUGAUGAAUGCUCAAUAAGAAAUUGCAUUGCUAUUGUGGAAUCGAUGGAUGAUCUCUCAGUUGAUGAGAAAGUCAAAUCUUUUGGAAUAUUCAAGGAUGCCCAGAAUAGGGAGAUCUUCAUGAGUGCAGGGUCAUUGACUCGUCUUGUGUGGUUAAGAACAAGGGUCAUUGACUCGUCUUGUGUGGUUAAGAACAAUGCUGUCCAUGUUGGGAUGACCAUUGGACCAACAGGAUACUGUUUUUCAGGUGAAGUCGUCAGGCUGUCAAGGAAACUAUCGUGCUCACGGAACAAACCCCUGCAUCCUCGCUGUCUGAAUUCUUUUCUUUUCUAGCGAACAAAGAAAAAACACGAUCGAGAAGUAUGUAGUUUUGCGAACUUGAGGCGCCGUUUUUCCAUGAGCCAUCGACUGUUUACUUUCACUUUCACCUAACGACAUUGUUUGAGCUGCUUCCAGAGUCAAAGUGUACCUAAGAUAAUCCUCUGUCCUUAAAAAAAUUUGAGAGAGAGACAACCAACAGGCCAUCAGUUUGUGAAUGCAAUAUGAACCAGAUGGAUGUAUAUAUUAUUCAUAUGCCUAUUUGCCGAAA